rnacentral:rRNA from 1 species
UGGGGGAUAUUGCACAAUGGGGGAAACCCUGAUGCAGCGACGCCGCGUGUAGGAAGACGGUCCUCUGGAUUGUAAACUACUGUCUUCGGGGACGAUAAUGACGGUACCCGAGGAGGAAGCUCCGGCUAACUACGUGCCAGCAGCCGCGGUAAUACGUAGGGAGCGAGCGUUGUCCGGAAUUACUGGGUGUAAAGGGAGCGUAGGCGGGAAGGUAAGUUGGGCGUGAAAGGCAGGGGCUCAACCCCUGGAGUGCGCUUGAUACUGUGAUGCUAGAGUCAUGGAGGGGGAACCGGAACUCUCGGUGUAGCAGUGAAAUGCGUAGAUAUCGAGAAGAACACUCGUGGCGAAGGCGGGUUCCUGGACAUGUACUGACGCUGAGGUACGAAGGCUAGGGGAGCGAAAG